rnacentral:tRNA from 1 species
GCAGUGCGUGGCCGAAUGGUUACGCUAUCCGCUUUGUAAGCGGAUGAUUCUGGGUUCGUUUCCAUCUGCUGCA